rnacentral:tRNA from 1 species
GGGCUAGUGGCGCAGCCAGGUAGCGCUGCAGGCUUUUAACCUGAAGGCCGCGGGUUCAAAGGACGCACACAAUCCA